AGUAAGACGGAUCAGACGUACGACUACGUCUCUGCCAGUGCUUACGGCGCCCCGGCCCCAGCCUACGAUGAGAAGACUACCUUCAACGUUCACCAAAUCAUUGAAGACGCUGUCAACAAGUUCCAGUAGAGACCGCGAGCAUAAUCGAAUAUUAUGCAGAAAAAGUUGUUUUCCUGUUGUCAUCAUGAUUAUUUUUUUCACGUUGACGUAGAAGACAGUGAAACCCGUGAUUGAUCUGUUGGUUGUUUACUUUAUUUAACUUUAUUUAUUUUGUGAUGUAAAUAAAUUGUUUUGUUAA
rnacentral:lncRNA from 1 species